rnacentral:rRNA from 1 species
UACGGAGGGAGCUAGCGUUGUUCGGAAUUACUGGGCGUAAAGCGCACGUAGGCGGCUUUGUAAGUUAGAGGUGAAAGCCCGGAGCUCAACUCCGGAACUGCCUUUAAAACUGCAUCGCUUGAAUCCAGGAGAGGUGAGUGGAAUUCCGAGUGUAGAGGUGAAAUUCGUAGAUAUUCGGAAGAACACAAGUGGCGAAGGCGGCUCACUGGACUGGUAUUGACGCUGAGGUGCGAAAGCGUGGGGAGCAAACAGG